UACGUAGGUGACAAGCGUUGUCCGGAUUUACUGGGCGUAAAGAGCGCGCAGGCGGUCGAUCAAGUCGAGUGUGAAAGCCCCCGGCUCAACUGGGGAGGGUCAUUCGAUACUGAUCGACUCGAAGGCAGGAGAGGGUAGUGGAAUUCCCGAUGUAGUGGUGAAAUGCGUAGAUAUCGGGAGGAACACCAGUGGCGAAGGCGACUACCUGGCCUGUUCUUGACGCUGAGGCGCGAAAGCUAGGGGAGCAAACGGG
rnacentral:rRNA from 1 species